GACGAACGCUGGCGGCGUGCUUAACACAUGCAAGUCGAACGGUAAGGCCCUUCGGGGUACACGAGUGGCGAACGGGUGAGUAACACGUGGGUGAUCUGCCCUGCACUUCGGGAUAAGCCUGGGAAACUGGGUCUAAUACCGGAUAGGACUCCUGGCUUCAUGGUUGGGGGUGGAAAGCUUUUGCGGUGUGGGAUGGGCACGCGGCCUAUCAGCUGGUUGGUGGGGUAAGGGCCGACCAAGGCGAAGACGGGGGGCCGUCCUGAGAGGGUGACCGGUACCACUGGGACUGGGAGGCGGCCCAGACUCCUACGGGAGGCAGCAGUGGGGAAUAUUGCACAAUGGGCGCAAGCCUGAUGCAGCGACGCCGCGUGGGGGAUGACGGCCUUCGGGUUGUAAACCUCUUUCAGCUAUGACGAAGCGCAAGUGACGGUAGUAGCAGAAGAAGGACCGGCCAACUACGUGCCAGCCGCCGCCGUAA
rnacentral:rRNA from 1 species